UACAGAGGGUGCGAGCGUUGUCCGGAAUCACUGGGCGUAAAGCGCACGUAGGCGGAUUGCUAAGUCAGGGGUGAAAUCCUGGAGCUCAACUCCAGAACUGCCUUUGAUACUGGUGAUCUUGAGUCCGGGAGAGGUGAGUGGAACUGCGAGUGUAGAGGUGAAAUUCGUAGAUAUUCGCAAGAACACCAGUGGCGAAGGCGGCUCACUGGCCCGGUACUGACGCUGAGGUGCGAAAGCGUGGGGAGCAACAGG
rnacentral:rRNA from 1 species